rnacentral:rRNA from 1 species
UACGGAGGAUGGCAAGCGUUAUCCGGAAUGAUUGGGCGUAAAGCGUCCGCAGGUGGCAAUGUAAGUCUGCUGUCAAAGACGUCUGGCUCAACCAGAUAAAGGCAGUGGAAAACUACAUAGCUAGAGUAAGGUAGGGGUAGAGGGAAUUCCUGGUGUAGCGGUGAAAUGCGUAGAGAGUCAGGAAGAACACCGGUGGCGAAAGCGCUCUGCUGGACCUUAACUGACACUGAGGGAACGAAAGCUAGGGGAGCGAAUGGG